rnacentral:rRNA from 1 species
AAGACCUUGCGCUUUUGGAGCGGCCGAUGUCUGAUUAGCUAGUUGGUGGGGUAAUGGCCUACCAAAGCUUCGAUCAGUAGCUGGUCUGAGAGGACGGCCAGCCACACUGGGACUGAGACACGGCCCAGACUCCUACGGGAGGCAGCAGUGGGGAAUUUUGGACAAUGGGCGCAAGCCUGAUCCAGCCAUGCCGCGUGAGUGAAGAAGGCCUUCGGGUUGUAAAGCUCUUUCAGUCGGGAAGAAAAGGUUGCGACUAAUAAUCGCAAUUCAUGACGGUACCGAAAGAAGAAGCACCGGCUAACUACGUGCCAGCAGCCGCGGUAAUACGUAGGGUGCGAGCGUUAAUCGGAAUUACUGGGCGUAAAGGGUGCGCAGGCGGUUUUGUAAGUCAGAUGUGAAAUCCCCGGGCUUAACCUGGGAACU